rfam:Camelus ferus unplaced genomic scaffold scaffold743, whole genome shotgun sequence.
GAGGGGAUAACUCAAGUGUUAGAGUGCGUGCUUAGCAUGCAUGAGGCCCUGGGUUCAAUCCCCAGUACCUCCU